UCUAGUAUCAGCUCCAGUAUAAGUGACUUCCAAUCACCAGGUCUUGGUUAAAACCCAAGGAAAGAUAAUGA
rnacentral:tRNA from 1 species